AACGUAGGUGGCGAGCGUUAUCCGGAUUUACUGGGCGUAAAGAGCGCGCAGGCGGUCGUUCAAGUCGCGUGUGAAAGCCCCCGGCUCAACUGGGGAGGGUCACGCGAUACUGAUCGACUCGAAGGCAGGAGAGGGAAGUGGAAUUCCCGGUGUAGUGGUGAAGUGCGUAGAUAUCGGGAGGAACACCAGUGGCGAAGGCGACUUCCUGGCCUGUUCUUGACGCUGAGGCGCGAAAGCUAGGGGAGCAAACGGG
rnacentral:rRNA from 1 species